rnacentral:rRNA from 1 species
CAGCCGCCGCGGUAAUACGUAGGUGGCAAGCGUUGUCCGGAAUUAUUGGGCGUAAAGGGCUCGCAGGCGGUUUCUUAAGUCUGAUGUGAAAGCCCCCGGCUCAACCGGGGAGGGUCAUUGGAAACUGGGAAACUUGAGUGCAGAAGAGGAGAGUGGAAUUCCACGUGUAGCGGUGAAAUGCGUAGAGAUGUGGAGGAACACCAGUGGCGAAGGCGACUCUCUGGUCCGUAACUGACGCUGAGGAGCGAAAGCGUGGGGAGCGAACAGGAUUAGAUACCCCUGUAGUCCCUGUCUCUUAUAC